rnacentral:rRNA from 1 species
GACGAACGCUGGCGGCGUGCCUAAUACAUGCAAGUCGAACGAAGAUCUAGCUUGCUAGAUCUUAGUGGCGAACGGGUGAGUAAUACAUAAAUAAACUGCCCAUAUGACUGGGAUAACUAUUGGAAACGAUAGCUAAUACCGGAUAGGUUGAUCGGAGGCAUCUCUGAUGAAUUAAAGUAGGAUUUCUACACAAAUGGAUGAGUUUAUGGCGCAUUAGUUAGUUGGUGGGGUAACGGCCUACCAAGACGAUGAUGCGUAGCCGACCUGAGAGGGUGACCGGCCACACUGGGACUGAGACACGGCCCAGACUCCUACGGGAGGCAGCAGUAGGGAAUUUUCGGCAAUGGGCGCAAGCCUGACCGAGCAACGCCGCGUGAGUGAUUAAGGCCUUCGGGUUGUAAAGCUCUGUUGUAAGGGAAGAACAUUCAGGAUAGGAAAUGAUCUUGAACUGACGGUACCUUACCAGAAAGCCACGGCUAACUACGUGCCAGCCGCCGCCGUAA